rnacentral:rRNA from 1 species
GACGGAGGAUGCAAGUGUUAUCCGGAAUCACUGGGCGUAAAGCGUCUGUAGGUGGUUCGAAAAGUCCACUGUUAAAAAUUGAGGCUUAACUUCAAAGAUGCCGUGGAAACUUUCAAACUAGAGUAUGGUAGGGGUAGAGGGAAUUUCCAGUGGAGCGGUGAAAUGCGUAGAUAUUGGAAAGACCACCGAUGGCGAAGGCACUCUACUGGGCCAUUACUGACACUGAGAGACGAAAGCUAGGGGAG